rnacentral:rRNA from 1 species
GACGAACGCUGGCGGCGUGCUUAACACAUGCAAGUCGAACGGAAAGGCCCUGCUUUUGUGGGGUGCUCGAGUGGCGAACGGGUGAGUAACACGUGAGUAACCUGCCCUUGACUUUGGGAUAACUUCAGGAAACUGGGGCUCAUACCGGAUAGGAGCUCCUGCUGCAUGGUGGGGGUUGGAAAGUUUCGGCGGUUGGGGAUGGACUCGCGGCUUAUCAGCUUGUUGGUUGGGUAGUGGCUUACCAAGGCUUUGACGGGUAGCCGGCCUGAGAGGGUGGCCGGGCACAUUGGGACUGAGAUACGGCCCAGACUCCUACGGGAGGCAGCAGUGGGGAAUAUUGCACAAUGGGCGGAAGCCUGAUGCAGCAACGCCGCGUGCGGGAUGACGGCCUUCGGGUUGUAAACCGCUUUCGCCUGUGACGAAGCGUGAGUGACGGUAAUGGGUAAAGAAGCACCGGCUAACUACGUG